rnacentral:rRNA from 1 species
AUUGAACGCUGGCGGCAUGCUUUACACAUGCAAGUCGAACGGUAACAGGGAGCUUGCUCCGCUGACGAGUGGCGAACGGGUGAGUAAUGCGUCGGAACGUGCCGAGUAGUGGGGGAUAACGCAUCGAAAGGUGUGCUAAUACCGCAUACGUACUGAGGUAGAAAGUGGGGGACCUUAGGGCCUCACGCUAUUCGAGCGGCCGACGUCUGAUUAGCUAGUUGGUGAGGUAAAGGCUCACCAAGGCGACGAUCAGUAGCGGGUCUGAGAGGAUGAUCCGCCACACUGGGACUGAGACACGGCCCAGACUCCUACGGGAGGCAGCAGUGGGGAAUUUUGGACAAUGGGCGCAAGCCUGAUCCAGCCAUGCCGCGUGUCUGAAGAAGGCCUUCGGGUUGUAAAGGACUUUUGUCCGGGAGCAAAUGCCUGGCGUUAAUAGCAUCGGGAGCUGAGAGUACCGGAAGAAUCAGCACCGGCUAACUACGUGCCAGCCGCCGCAGUAACAC